rnacentral:rRNA from 1 species
CAGCAGCCGCGGGAAUACGAAGGGCGCAAGCGUUACUCGGAAUUACUGGGCGUAAAGCGUGCGUAGGUGGUGGUUUAAGUCCCUUGUGAAAGCCCUGGGCUCAACCUGGGAAUUGCAGUGGAUACUGGAUCACUAGAGUGUGGUAGAGGAUAGUGGAAUUUCCGGUGUAGCAGUGAAAUGCGUAGAGAUCGGAAGGAACAUCUGUGGCGAAGGCGACUAUCUGGGCCAACACUGACACUGAGGCACGAAAGCGUGGGGAGCAAACAGGAUUAGAUACCCCGGUAGUCCCUGUCUCUUAUAC